AAAUUAUGGUUAGCAAUCUUCAAGGAAAAAAAAUUAUAUAGCUAAAUUGAUUGAUUUGUUGUUGCAAGUUUUUUAAAAUGAGUUUCAAUGAUUAUAUUUGAAUCAGUCACAUUUGUGGUGAUUUUAGUUUGACACCAAAAUGGUUUUUGUUUGGAUGUUGGGAAUAGUCUUUCUAUUCUUCUAAGUUGACCAUUGUGGUGGUUACAUACAAUUUAUGUUAUGUUUGACAUCUUGAUCACCUUUGCAAUUUGUUUGGUUCUAGCAAACAUAGUGGGGCAUUUUUUUUUGUUCAGACAAAUAAAAAGUUAAGUCUACCUAUGAGUUAAAGCGUGAAAGACAGCACAGUGGAUAAUGACUAGGGAAAGGGGUUAAUCAAAAUGCUGAUUCCUUUUCUUUCUUGGUUAAAGUCACAUGCGAAUGAAGGGAAGGGGGAGGAAGUUUAUGCUUGAAUAAACAAAGAAAUGAACUGCUAGACGACUAAAUAGAAUAGUCGCUGGUGCAUUAUUGACAGGUGGGCAUAAAACAAAAUUGGAUAGAUCAAUAGACCAAGAUCU
rnacentral:misc_RNA from 1 species